rnacentral:rRNA from 1 species
CGUUGCUGGGCGGAGCUACCAUGCAGUCGAGCGGUAGCACAGAGAAGCUUGCUUCUUGGGUGACGAGCGGCGGACGGGUGAGUAAUGCAUAGGAAUCUGCCCGAUAGUGGGGGAUAACCUGGGGAAACCCAGGCUAAUACCGCAUACGUCCUACGGGAGAAAGGGGGCUCCGGCUCCCGCUAUUGGAUGAGCCUAUGUCGGAUUAGCUAGUUGGUGAGGUAAAGGCUCACCAAGGCAACGAUCCGUAGCUGGUCUGAGAGGAUGAUCAGCCACAUCGGGACUGAGACACGGCCCGAACUCCUACGGGAGGCAGCAGUGGGGAAUAUUGGACAAUGGGCGCAAGCCUGAUCCAGCCAUGCCGCGUGUGUGAAGAAGGCCCUCGGGUUGUAAAGCACUUUCAGCGAGGAAGAACGCCUAGCGGUUAAUACCCGCUAGGAAAGACAUCACUCGCAGAAGAAGCACCGGCUAACUCCGUGCCAGCAGCCGCGGUAAUACGGAGGGUGCAAGCGUUAAUCGG